rnacentral:ribozyme from 14 species
UUUGAUAAAUCCUGGAACUAUGGAGAGAGAGACAGAAAGAAAGAGAUAGAAAAUAAGGAGAGGAAAAAAGAAUGAAUACAUUGUUCUUUGUGGUGAGAGAAAUGAGUCUCAACU